CGGACGGGUGAGUAACGCGUGAGAAUCUGGCUUCAGGUCUGGGACAAUCACUGGAAACGGUGGCUAAUACCGGAUGUGCCGAAAGGUGAAAGGUUAACUGCCUGAAGAUGAGCUCGCGUCUGAUUAGCUAGUUGGAAGUGUAAUGGACUCCCAAGGCGACGAUCAGUAGCUGGUCUGAGAGGACGAUCAGCCACACUGGGACUGAGACACGGCCCAGACUCCUACGGGAGGCAGCAGUGGGGAAUUUUCCGCAAUGGGCGAAAGCCUGACGGAGCAAUACCGCGUGAGGGAGGAAGGCUCUUGGGUCGUAAACCUCUUUUCUCAGGGAAGAACACAAUGACGGUACCUGAGGAAUAAGCAUCGGCUAACUCCGUGCCAGCAGCCGCGGUAAUACGGAGGAUGCAAGCGUUAUCCGGAAUGAUUGGGCGUAAAGCGUCCGCAGGUGGCAAUGUAAGUCUGCUGUUAAAGAGUCUAGCUCAACUAGAUAAGAGCAGUGGAAACUACAUAGCUAGAGUACGUUCGGGGCAGAGGGAAUUCCUGGUGUAGCGGUGAAAUGCGUAGAGAUCAGGAAGAACACCAGUGGCGAAGGCGCUCUGCUAGGCCGUAACUGACACUGAGGGACGAAAGCUAGGGGAGCGAAUGGGAUUAGAUACCCCAGUAGUC
rnacentral:rRNA from 1 species